rnacentral:ncRNA from 2 species
CACCGAAAUGGGGAUGGAGUCCCCCGAAAGCGCCGCGAUGGCUGAUGACUCCUACAACCCC